rnacentral:lncRNA from 12 species
CCUUGAGCUGUUGGAGCAAGAGCAGAUAAAACAAGUUGUCUGCUCACAGGGAAAGCUCCCUGAAGCCAGUUUUUCCAUAGAUAGGACCUUUAUCCGGCAGCAGCAGAGCUGUACUACCUUUCUGCAGAGUGUUGGGAUAAAAUACCUUCAGGCUAUUGGAGCAUUCAUGAAGAUGAACCAUAUGAGAAUUUAGAGAAUUCCCUUCAUAAUUACACACCACUUUUUUUACCAAUUCAUUCACAUUGCAACAGAAGC